UCCGUAGCCGGCUUAGCAAGUCUCCUGUUAAAUUCAGCGACCUAAUCGUUGAGCCGCGGGAGAUACUACUAGGCUAGGAGGCGGGAGAGGUCGACGGUACUUCUGGGGUAGGGGUGAAAUCCUAUAAUCCCAGGAGGACCACCAGUGGCGAAGGCUGUCGACUAGAACGCGCUCGACGGUGAGGGACGAAAGCUGGGGGAGCGAACAGGAUUAGAUACCCUGGUAGUCC
rnacentral:rRNA from 1 species